rnacentral:ncRNA from 1 species
AAGUUGUGGACGAAAUUAGAAUAAGAAUUGCUGGUAAUACGGCUGCGCCUUGUUUCCAUGUGCUAAAAAAUAAGGGAUAUAAAGUAACAAUGGAAACUCAUGCAUUAUCUGACGAUUGUUUAGAUUGUGUAUAUGAUUGGUAUGCGGAAAAAAUGGACAAUUUUUUAGUGCAACGAGUCCAGAAGAGUUACUUGGAUUAGUUGCAAUGUGGGAAGUUCGUGGUAAUGACUGGAGAGCUAAUUUGAAUGAGAUAAAUACUUAUCAAAAAGCCAUAGAAGAAUCCCCGUUUUUUGAUAAAAACGGCAAUGAAAUAGAGUCUGACUAAAUUUUAUUGAUAUAGCAACGAUAAUAACCGGAAAUUUCUUCCAGAUCUUUCCGGCUUUUUAUUAUUUAACUUUCGUUCAGCACACUAAACAUCCCGUCUCGCAUCCCCUUAACUGGCUGUUUAACCUGAUAAAGUUCCCUGCGCAGUUCCUGUACUUCGUUGUUAUCCCAAGCAGGAUCAAACAUCCCUCCGAGAUCUUCACGGUAACGCCCGUGCCGAUCUCAAAUCCCGCUUUUCUCAGCCAUUUGGCGCUGAUUUUGAUCACCGGCGUGUCGCUGCGGUUGGGCAGAUAACCCACGGUACAGCGACGCUGUGUUUUGGAAAUGGU